AUAUCCAAAAUUUUGUUUUUUUUUUUUUCCAAAUUCACUUGUUUUUAAGCUUUAACAGGACAUGCCAGAAUUCAACUAGCAGUGAUGGAAGGAGCAGAGGAAGACCAGUGACAUCUGGUUGUGGUGACAACAAAUUAUAUGAUCGCUUGCCGAAGGAUGCAUCAGGUAUCUGUGCCCUCGCGUCUUUGAUAAUGCCUGUAGUGGUUGUCCCCAUUGAAAUACAGAAUCUCAAUUGGAACAUGGAGUCCCCACUGGCGGGGCUCCUGAAGCGAGCCAAAA